rnacentral:ncRNA from 3 species
UACAGAGACUGCAAGCGUUAUUCGGAUUCACUGGGCGUAAAGGGUGCGCAGGCGGCCGUGUGUGUGAGGCGUGAAAGCCCGGGGCUUAACCCCGGAAUUGCACCUCAAACUACAUGGCUAGAGCAUUGGAGAGGGUAGCGGAAUUCACGGUGUAGCAGUGAAAUGCGUAGAUAUCGUGAGGAACACCAGAGGCGAAGGCGGCUACCUGGACAAUUGCUGACGCUCAGGCACGAAAGCGUGGGGAGCAAAAGGG